GAUGAACGCUGGCGGCGUGCUUAACACAUGCAAGUCGAACGGAAAGGCUCCUGCUUGCAGGGGUACUCGAGUGGCGAACGGGUGAGUAGCACGUGGGUGAUCUGCCCUGCACUUCGGGAUAAGCCUGGGAAACUGGGUCUAAUACCGGAUAGGACGAUGGUUUGGAUGCCAUUGUGGAAAGUUUUUUCGGUGUGGGAUGAGCUCGCGGCCUAUCAGCUUGUUGGUGGGGUAAUGGCCUACCAAGGCGUCGACGGGUAGCCGGCCUGAGAGGGUGUACGGCCACAUUGGGACUGAGAUACGGCCCAGACUCCUACGGGAGGCAGCAGUGGGGAAUAUUGCACAAUGGGCGCAAGCCUGAUGCAGCGACGCCGCGUGGGGGAUGACGGCCUUCGGGUUGUAAACUCCUUUCGCUAGGGACGAAGCGCAAGUGACGGUACCUGGAGAAGAAGCACCGGCUAACUACGUG
rnacentral:rRNA from 1 species